GGUAGCGUAAUCACUUGUCUUUUUAAUAGAGACUGGAAUGAAUGACUAAACGAGGCUCUAUCUGUCUCCUACAGGCGAUCAGUGAAAUUGAUCUCCUCGUGCAAAAGCGAGAAUGGUAACAUAAGACGAGAAGACCCUGUGGAACUUUAAAUAACAGCUAAUAGCCAUAAACCCACUAAACCGAUAGGACCACUACUAUAGCCACUCUUAGCUCUAUUUUCGGUUGGGGUGACCUCGGAGAAAAACGAAACCUCCGAAGACCUAUACUANGAACAACAAACCAAAGUGCCUCCGGGUAAACGAUCCAAUAUAUUNGAUCUAAUGAACCAAGCUACCCCAGGGAUAACAG
rnacentral:rRNA from 1 species